rnacentral:rRNA from 1 species
CCUACGGGGGGCAGCAGUAGGGAAUAUUGCUCAAUGGGGGAAACCGUGAAGCAGCAACGCGGCGUGGAGGAUGAAGGUGUUCGGAUUGUAAACUCCUUUUGUUAGAGAAGAGAAUGACGGUAUCUAACGAAUAAGCACCGGCUAACUCCGUGCCAGCAGCCGCGGUAAGACGGAGGGUGCAAGCGUUACUCGGAAUCACUGGGCGUAAAGAGCGCGUAGGCGGGAUAGCAAGUCAGAUGUGAAAUCCGAUGGCUUAACCAUAGAACUGCAUUUGAAACUGUUAUUCUAGAGUAUGGGAGAGGUAGGUGGAAUUCUUGGUGUAGGGGUGAAAUCCGUAGAGAUCAAGAGGAAUACUCAUUGCGAAGGCGACCUGCUAGAACAUAACUGACGCUGAUGCGCGAAAGCGUGGGGAGCAAACAGGAUUAGAUACCCCAGUAGUC